UACGAAGGGGGCUAGCGUUGCUCGGAAUUACUGGGCGUAAAGCGCACGUAGGCGGCUUUGUAAGUAAGAGGUGAAAGCCCAGAGCUCAACUCUGGAAUUGCCUUUUAGACUGCAUCGCUUGAAUCAUGGAGAGGUCAGUGGAAUUCCGAGUGUAGAGGUGAAAUUCGUAGAUAUUCGGAAGAACACCAGUGGCGAAGGCGGCUCACUGGACUGGUAUUGACGCUGAGGUGCGAAAGCGUGGGGAGCAAACAGG
rnacentral:rRNA from 1 species